rnacentral:rRNA from 1 species
CGGCAGGCUUAACACAUGCAAGUCGAGGGGUAACAGGGAUUGCUUGCAAUCCGCUGACGACCGGCGAACGGGUGCGUAACGCGUAUGCAACCUACCUUUUACAGGGGAAUAGCCCAAAGAAAUUUGGAAUAAUACCCCAUACGAUCUUUAUUUGGCAUCAAUUAAAGAAGAAAACUCCGGUGGUAAAAGAUGGGCAUGCGUCCUAUUAGUUAGUUGGUAAGGUAACGGCUUACCAAGACUACGAUAGGUAGGGGUCCUGAGAGGGAGAUCCCCCACACUGGUACUGAGACACGGACCAGACUCCUACGGGAGGCAGCAGUGAGGAAUAUUGGACAAUGGAGGCAACUCUGAUCCAGCCAUGCCGCGUGCAGGAAGACUGCCCUAUGGGUUGUAAACUGCUUUUAUACAGGAAGAAUUGCAUCUACGUGUAGUUGCUUGACGGUACUGUACGAAUAAGGAUCGG